rnacentral:rRNA from 1 species
GGGUUGUGAGGUUAAGCGACUAAGCGUACACGGUGGAUGCCCUGGCAGUCAGAGGCGAUGAAGGGCGUGCUAAUCUGCGAUAAGCGCCGGUAAGGUGAUAUGAACCGUUAUAACCGGCGAUACCCGAAUGGGGAAACCCAGUGUGACUCGUCACACUAUCAUUAACUGAAUCCAUAGGUUAAUGAGGCGAACCGGGGGAACUGAAACAUCUAAGUACCCCGAGGAAAAGAAAUCAACCGAGAUUCCCCCAGUAGCGGCGAGCGAACGGGGAGGAGCCCAGAGCCUGAAUCAGCAUGUGUGUUAGUGGAAGCGUCUGGAAAGGCGCGCGAUACAGGGUGACAGCCCCGUACACAAAAGCGCAUGUGCUGUGAGCUCGAUGAGUAGGGCGGGACACGUGGUAUCCUGUCUGAAUAUGGGGGGACCAUCCUCCAAGGCUAAAUACUCCUGACUGACCGAUAGUGAACCAGUACCGUGAGGGAAAGGCGAAAAGAACCCCGGCGAGGGGAGUGAAAAAGAACCUGAAACCGUGUACGUACAAGCAGUGGGAGCACCCUUUGGGGUGUGACUGCGUACCUUUUGUAUAAUGGGUCAGCGACUUAUAUUCUGUAGCAAGGUUAACCGUAUAGGGGAGCCGUAGGGAAACCGAGUCUUAACCGGGCGUUAAGUUGCAGGGUAUAGACCCGAAACCCGGUGAUCUAGCCAUGGGCAGGUUGAAGGUUGGGUAACACUAACUGGAGGACCGAACCGACUAAUGUUGAAAAAUUAGCGGAUGACCUGUGGCUGGGGGUGAAAGGCCAAUCAAACCGGGAGAUAGCUGGUUCUCCCCGAAAGCUAUUUAGGUAGCGCCUCGUGAAUUCAUCUCCGGGGGUAGAGCACUGUUUCGGCUAGGGGGCCAUCCCGGCUUACCAACCCGAUGCAAACUGCGAAUACCGGAGAAUGUUAUCACGGGAGACACACGGCGGGUGCUAACGUCCGUCGUGAAGAGGGAAACAACCCAGACCGCCAGCUAAGGUCCCAAAGUCAUGGUUAAGUGGGAAACGAUGUGGGAAGGCCCAGACAGCCAGGAUGUUGGCUUAGAAGCAGCCAUCAUUUAAAGAAAGCGUAAUAGCUCACUGGUCGAGUCGGCCUGCGCGGAAGAUGUAACGGGGCUAAACCAUGCACCGAAGCUGCGGCAGCGACGCUGAUGCGUUGUUGGGUAGGGGAGCGUUCUGUAAGCCUGCGAAGGUGACCUGUGAGGGUUGCUGGAGGUAUCAGAAGUGCGAAUGCUGACAUAAGUAACGAUAAAGCGGGUGAAAAGCCCGCUCGCCGGAAGACCAAGGGUUCCUGUCCAACGUUAAUCGGGGCAGGGUGAGUCGACCCCUAAGGCGAGGCCGAAAGGCGUAGUCGAUGGGAAACGGGUUAAUAUUCCCGUACUUGGUGUUACUGCGAAGGGGGGACGGAGAAGGCUAUGUUGGCCGGGCGACGGUUGUCCCGGUUUAAGCGUGUAGGUGUGUGUUCCAGGUAAAUCCGGUUCACUUUAACACUGAGGCGUGAUGACGAGGCACUACGGUGCUGAAGCAACAAAUGCCCUGCUUCCAGGAAAAGCCUCUAAGCAUCAGGUAACAUCAAAUCGUACCCCAAACCGACACAGGUGGUCAGGUAGAGAAUACCAAGGCGCUUGAGAGAACUCGGGUGAAGGAACUAGGCAAAAUGGUGCCGUAACUUCGGGAGAAGGCACGCUGACACGUAGGUGAAGUGAUUUACUCACGGAGCUGAAGUCAGUCGAAGAUACCAGCUGGCUGCAACUGUUUAUUAAAAACACAGCACUGUGCAAACACGAAAGUGGACGUAUACGGUGUGACGCCUGCCCGGUGCCGGAAGGUUAAUUGAUGGGGUCAGCGCAAGCGAAGCUCCUGAUCGAAGCCCCGGUAAACGGCGGCCGUAACUAUAACGGUCCUAAGGUAGCGAAAUUCCUUGUCGGGUAAGUUCCGACCUGCACGAAUGGCGUAAUGAUGGCCAGGCUGUCUCCACCCGAGACUCAGUGAAAUUGAACUCGCUGUGAAGAUGCAGUGUACCCGCGGCAAGACGGAAAGACCCCGUGAACCUUUACUAUAGCUUGACACUGAACAUUGAGCCUUGAUGUGUAGGAUAGGUGGGAGGCUUUGAAGUGUGGACGCCAGUCUGCAUGGAGCCGACCUUGAAAUACCACCCUUUAAUGUUUGAUGUUCUAACGUGGACCCGUUACCCGGGUUGCGGACAGUGUCUGGUGGGUAGUUUGACUGGGGCGGUCUCCUCCUAAAGAGUAACGGAGGAGCACGAAGGUUGGCUAAUCCUGGUCGGACAUCAGGAGGUUAGUGCAAUGGCAUAAGCCAGCUUGACUGCGAGCGUGACGGCGCGAGCAGGUGCGAAAGCAGGUCAUAGUGAUCCGGUGGUUCUGAAUGGAAGGGCCAUCGCUCAACGGAUAAAAGGUACUCCGGGGAUAACAGGCUGAUACCGCCCAAGAGUUCAUAUCGACGGCGGUGUUUGGCACCUCGAUGUCGGCUCAUCACAUCCUGGGGCUGAAGUAGGUCCCAAGGGUAUGGCUGUUCGCCAUUUAAAGUGGUACGCGAGCUGGGUUUAGAACGUCGUGAGACAGUUCGGUCCCUAUCUGCCGUGGGCGCUGGAGAACUGAGGGGGGCUGCUCCUAGUACGAGAGGACCGGAGUGGACGCAUCACUGGUGUUCGGGUUGUCAUGCCAAUGGCACUGCCCGGUAGCUAAAUGCGGAAGAGAUAAGUGCUGAAAGCAUCUAAGCACGAAACUUGCCCGAGAUGAGUUCUCCCUGAGACUUAGAGUCUCCUGAAGGAACGUUGAAGACGACGACGUUGAUAGGCCGAGUGUGUAAGCGCAGCGAUGCGUUGAGCUAACCGGUACUAAUGAACCGUGAGGCUUAACCUUACAACGCCGAAG